rnacentral:lncRNA from 10 species
UCUCAAUAAAAAGAAAACAAAAAGUUUAUUUUUGUUGUAACAUUCUUUUAUUAUUUCUAGAGGCAUGUAACAAUGUGCUAUGUAACAAUUCAAGACUGUGGCCCAGAUGAAAUAAUGAUAGCAGCACAUAUCUGGAACUUCUUUGGUCACAUGAAUGCAUAAUAAAUAUAUGAAGUGGAAACUCAAUUCUACGUAGUAUGACUACAGCAGACUAAAGACAAUAAUCAGGCCGGGUGUGGUGGCUCACACCUGUAAUCCCAGCACUUCAGCACUUUAGGAGGCCAAGACCAGCAGAUUGCUUGAGCUCAGGAGUUCAAGCGAUUCUCCUGCCUCAGCCUCCCGAGUAGCUGGGAUUACAGGCUUCGUGCCACCCCGCCUGGCUGAUUUUUG